UCUAAGGGUUUUUUUCGAUCUUCUUUCUCUGUCAUAUUUUCAUGGUUCGCAACAACUCAAAUUUUCUUACGAUAUGCGAUUCUUUGCUCUUCAUUGUUUUUUUUUUCAGAUAAUUAUUUCAUAAUUUAAGUGAGAUUUACUCUCUUCCUGAAACCUAAAUUUCCACUCAAAGUGAAGACCCAUUCCCGUCAAGAUUCGAAACCUAAAUCUAAUGUUGUUGGCAUUGCGUCGAAGUCCCCCGGCGAAGGCAGAGAGAGCAACAAGGGGAGCAUGGAGAUGUCUAGGUUGGAUGCGUCGAAGAGGAGCAGGUCGUCGAAGUUCACGGCAAGGCAGAACAACUUGUCUAAGUUGCAGUUAAGGUUUACCAUCACCAGCGGCUCUCUGAUGAACUUCGGGUCCAUCGAAGUAACAAUAAGAAUCCAAUUCUUUUUUCUCUUCUUUAUGAGCUCAUACAUUUUCAUUCAAAAUUUUGAUACAUGAGAAUGCUUUCUUAUUGGUUUUGUCUGUUUAAUUUAAUGACUAUGUACGUAUAUAGUGCUUCUUGAUUAGUGUUCGAUUAUAAAACUCGGUAAGAAGAAGAUGGUUUUGAGCUUUGACAAAGCAAGGAAGACAACAAGGAACUAAGAGAUUGAUUAGAAAGCUUUAAUAUCAGAAGCCAGAAAGUACAGGACCAAGAUGGUGUUGAGUUUGGUGAAUAACUAUGAUGACUUUGGAGGAAAGAAACAAUAUUUGAGUGGGCAAAGAGUGAGGGUUAGUCCCCACAUUAUGAAGAUGACUUCUUCACAAAACUUCUUGUCAAGGGAUUCUACAAGAACCAUAUCCAGGUUAUAUAGUUUUGCAGCAAAUUCUUAUCAAUCAGUGUUUGUGUCAAUGUGGUGGGAGCAACAUGACAUAUGACAGGGGAAUGGUUAGAUUUAUACGCUUUUGGAUCAGAGUAUUAUAAAAAAUGCAUACUCUUUGUUUAGGAUUUAAUAGGUUUAUUUUAUGAUUUGCCUAGACAUGCCUAUGGUUCCUUGCAUCACCACCAAGGGUUUGAUUGCAUCACACAACCUAGAAAAUAACAAUUCGAGCCUGAGUACUGAUACAUAUUUAAUAAAUGAGUAUUGAUACAUACUACCCUUAUUCUUGACUUUGAGUAUAUUUGGGCAAGUUUUUCCAUAAACACUUCUCAGAAAGAAAAUAAGAAAAGAAUAGAAAUUAGUUUUUUCAUAACCAAAUUUGUAGAAAAUUUUCAUUUAGCUUCUCUAAAUUUUUAUUUUAACUUGUCCAUAGGCUAAAUUUAAACUUAUGGAUAAACUUUCUUAUUUCUCUCCCGAGUGCUUGUGAAAAAGCUUGUUUCAGUAAAUAUAUAUACCACAUUAUAUUAAUGGACCUCUUUAAACAAAUUGUUUUGAAUAUUAUAUACAUAUACUGUGACACGAAAUCUGUGUGGUUGGAAAAUUGAACCCCACAUGUGAAUACUUGCAUAAAUCAGCAACAAUUUAGAUAUACGUAAUCUAAGUUUCAAAAGAUCAAAAUGUACAUGCAACUUUUUACCUAUUGCUUCUUUUUUUAUCUCUUCCUCUCAUGUAUUUUAUCUUAACUCUUCUUAAUUUUAUUCUAUGUUCACAUUACAUGUUUUUUAGAUUUCAACAAAGUGUAGCCGAAACCUGCAAAAUAUUCAGUUUGGUCAGUGAUCUCUACUUUCAUAGAUUUACUGCACCCUUCAUACGACUAAUUACUACUUGCACCUUAGAUUUCUUUGUAAUGUUCUUUUAUUGAUACCAUUUUUAAAACUAAUGGAAAUUUAAUAACACAU